AACUUUCAGCAAUGGAUCACUUGGCUCUCGCAUCGAUGAAGAAUGCAGCGAAAUGCGAUACGUAAUGUGAAUUGCAGAAUUCAGUGAAUCAUCGAAUCUUUGAACGCACCUUGCGCCCCUUGGAAUUCCGAGGGGCACACCCGUUUGAGUGUCGUGAACAUCCUUCAACCUUUCUUGGUUUCUUAACCGGGCAAGGCUUGGACUUUGGGGGUCUUUCAUUGCUGGCCUCUUUGAAGCCAGCUCCUCCUAAAUGGAUUAGUGUGGUCUGCUUUGCCGAUCCUUGACGUGAUACGAUGUUUCUGCGUCUUGGGUUUCGCACUGUCGCUUCAGACCCCCCUUCUAACCGUCUUGCAUUCAAGACAGAGUUUUAAACCUUGACCUUAAAUCGGGUGAGACUACCCGCUGAACUUAAGCAUAUCAAUAAGCGGAGGCU
rnacentral:misc_RNA from 1 species